AUACAGAGGGUGCGAGCGUUAAUCGGAAUUACUGGGCGUAAAGCGCGCGUAGGCGGCUUGGUCAGUCGGAUGUGAAAGCCCCGGGCUCAACCUGGGAAUGGCAUUCGAUACUGCCAGGCUAGAGUAUGGGAGAGGGAAGUGGAAUUUCCGGUGUAGCGGUAAAAUGCGUAGAUAUCGGAAGGAACACCAGUGGCGAAGGCGACUUCCUGGCCAAAUACUGACGCUGAGGUGCGAAAGCGUGGGGAGCGAACAGGAUCAGAUACCCUAGUAGUCC
rnacentral:rRNA from 1 species